CGCAUAUUGCGCCCAUUGGUAUUCCGAUGGGCAUGCCUGUUCGAGCGUCAUUUAAACCCUCAAGCUUUGCUGCUUGGUGUUGGAGCUUCUAUAGCGCAAGUUAUAGGCUCUCAAAGACUCUGGCGGUAUCCCUUUAGGCCCGGACGUAGUAAUACUUUUCGUUCAGGGAGCUUUAGGGGCUACUCUAGCCAUAACCUUUUAAUUCUUAAAGUUGACCUCGGAUCAGGUAGGAAUACCCGCUGAACUUAA
rnacentral:misc_RNA from 1 species